rnacentral:rRNA from 1 species
AAUUAUUAUUAUUAUUUUUUUUUUUUUUAGUAUUAAUAUAUAAUUAUGAAUAUAUAAAUAAUCCUAUAUCUUUAUAUAAAAAUUAAAUUUUUAAUUUUAUUAGAAUUUUUUUUUUUUAUAUAUAUAGAUUGUAAUUUAACAACAAAAAGUAUUAAGCCCAAAUCGUAGACGACUUUUCUGUCUCAGAGUACUGUAAACAUGAGAGUAAACUUUGUUUUACGAUCUGUUGAGGUUUAUCUCUUGUGACAUUGAGCUAAUUUAAAAUAUAGAAAAUUUUAUUAAAUAUAAAAAAAUAUAUAUAUAUAUAUAUAAAUAUAUAUAUUUAUAUAGUUAUAUAUUUAAACCAAACAAUUUUAAGUAAUCAAUUUUUUUAAAAAACACAAAAAAUGUGUUUUAUACUAAAUGAACACACACAUAUAUAUAUAUAUAAUAUAUAUAUGUUAUGUUGUUUUUUAUUUAUGUUAUUAUUUUUCAUAAGAAGAAUAACAUAACAUUAUAUAGAACAUAAAAAAAAAAAUAUUUUAUAUGCAUUAAUUUUAUUAAACGGUUAAUAAUAAAUAUAUAUAGACAUCAUAUAUAUAUAUAUUAAUUUAUUGUGAACAAAAAGGAGUAAUAUAUUUUAAGAGUUUAUAUAUAUAUAAUAUAUACAUAUAUAUAUAUUUAUAUAUGACAGGUUUUAUUUUUAUUCUUUAUUUUUAUAAAACAAUUCUAGAGUUAAAAUUCUAAGCCAUUCUACUUGUAGAUUAAAUAAAAAAUAUUCAAUAUCUUCUUGUAUCCAUUUUAUCCAGGUUGUUAUAGUUUCUUCUUUAUCAUGUAUAGGGUUUGUUAAAUCUUUAAGAGUUAUAUUAAUAAGUUUAUGUACUUUGUAUAAAUAUAUAUUUGCCCAUUUAUAAUGCCACAUAAAAUCUCUCCAAUUAUGAUUCAUAUUAUCUGUUUCUUUUUCAUAAUUUUGUUUCAUCUUUUUAAUAGUUUCUUUCCAUAUUUUUGUUGAGUUAAUACUUAGUUCAUUUAUUUUAUCUAUAUUCUCAUAAUGUUCGGGUAAGUAAGGUGAGUCAUUAUGUUCAGGUCUUAUUAACUCUUCCUCAUUUAAUAUUAAACAAAAGUCUUCUUCCCAAGGAUAUUUCUGUUCUUCACUUGCUUCGGCUAUAAUUCUUUUAAAUCUGUUUAUGUCAAUUUUGAUAUUAUUAUUGAAUCUACAAAAAGGGCAGAAAUAAUCAAAGGAUAAAAUAAAAAUAAAAAUAAAUAAAAAUAAAUAAAUAAAUAUAUAUAUAUAUAUAUAUAUGUGAUAUAUAUUAUAUGUGUGGUGGUAAUAUAUAUGAUUAUAUUGUUUUAUUAUUUUUUUUUUAUAUGUUAUAUAAUAUACUUUGUUUUAGAAAAGGUAUCAUAAUUAUAAUAAGUGAGGAAUAAUAAAAGUGUCAAGAACAACAAUAUUGUCACAUUUAUAAAAGUAUAUGAUUUUUUCAUUUUUUUUUUUUUUUUUUUUUUAUAGCUAUAUUAAUUUAUAUAAUAUCAUUUGCUCAGUGUGGUAUAUAUAUAAUAUAUAUAUAUAUCUCAUAUUUUAUGUUUCAUGUUAUUUAAAUUGUUCUUCCUUCUUGUAUAAUAUUAUACAUGUAUUAUAUUAUAUAUAAUAUCCAUAAAAACAUAUAAUGUGACACAACAUAUUUUUUAAUAUAAAACAUAAUAUAUAGGAUAUGUUAUAAUUAAUUCACUUAUUUUGUUCAUAUGAUAUAUAUUAUAUAUAUAUAUAUAUAUAUAUAUAUAUAUAUAUAUAUUGUUAUGUGUUUUUUUUAAUAUGUGGUUGUUUAUAUUUUUAUUAAUGUUCGUUCUAUCUGUGUCGAUUAAAAAUGGAAUGGUUAAUCAUACAAAAAAAAGGCAUAUCAUUUUUCUUUUUUUUUAUAAUAAGUAAAUAUUUUAUUUUCAAAAAAAUAAAAUAAUAAAAGGUAAAUAUAUAUAUAUAUAUUAUAUAUAUAUAUUUUGAUUUUCUUCUUUGCUUUCUUUUUAAAGAAUAAAAAAAUAAAAAAAAGCAAUUUUUAACAAUUUUGACCUUAUAACAAUUUUAUGUAUUUUAUAAUAUUUUUUUUAUUUAAAAUGAAUAAGGGAAGAAACCCAACCAAAUUGAUCAUUUUUUUACUUUUGUCUUUUUAAAAAAAAUAAAAAAUAAAAUCAUACUUAUAAAAUAUAUACAUAUAUAUAUAUAUAUUUAUAUUAAAAAAAUAUUUUUCAUAAUAAAUUUAUUAUUUUUAUUAUUAUUUAUUAUUAUUUAUUUUUUUUAAUUAUUUAUUGGCAUAUACUUUUUUUUUU